rnacentral:rRNA from 1 species
AUUGAACGCUGGCGGCAUGCUUUACACAUGCAAGUCGGACGAGUGGCGAACGGGUGAGUAAUAUAUCGGAACGUACCGAGUAAUGGGGGAUAACUAAUCGAAAGAUUAGCUAAUACCGCAUAUUAUUCGAGCGGCCGAUAUCUGAUUAGCUAGUUGGGGGGGUAAAGGCCGACCAAGGCGACGAUCAGUAGCGGGUCUGAGAGGAUGAUCCGCCACCUGGGAAGUAAGACACGGCCCAGACUCCUACGGGAGGCAGAAGUGGGGAAUUUUGGGCAAUGGGCGAAAGCCUGAUCAAGCCAUGCCGCGUGUCUGAAGAAGGCCUUCGGGUUGUAAAGGACUUUUGUCAGGGAAGCGGUACCUGAAGAAUAAGCACCGGCUAACUACGUGCCAGCAGCCGCGGUAAUAC